rnacentral:rRNA from 2 species
CAACUUUCAACAACGGAUCUCUUGGCUCUUGCAUCGAUGAAGAACGCAGCGAAAUGCGAUAAGUAAUGUGAAUUGCAGAAUCCAGUGAACCAUCGAAUCUUUGAACGCACCUUGCGCCCUUUGGUAUUCCGAGGGGCAUGCCUGUUUGAGAGUC